GCGGCCGCUAGGUGGCGCAUGCGCCCUGGAGGGCGCGGGCGGUCUCUGGGAAGAAGGCGGCGGCGGCGGCGAGAGGCGGGGGCGCCGUGGGGGCCGGUCCGUGUUUACACAGCGGCGGGCGGGUGCGGACGCGGAACCCGGCGCGGCGGCGGCACGAUGGUCAUGGCGCAUUUCGUGGAGAAUUUCUGGGGGGAAAAAAAUAAUGGCUUUGAUGUUCUGUACCAUAAUAUGAAACAUGGACAGAUAUCAACUAAAGAACUAGCAGAUUUUGUAAGAGAAAGAGCUACAAUAGAAGAGGCAUACUCCAGAUCAAUGACAAAACUAGCGAAAUCUGCAAGCAAUUAUUCACAACUUGGAACAUUUGCACCAGUGUGGGAUGUGUUCAAAACAUCUACAGAGAAAUUAGCAAAUUGUCAUUUGGAUCUUGUUAGAAAAUUGCAGGAAUUAAUAAAGGAAGUUCAGAAAUAUGGAGAGGAGCAAGUAAAAUCUCAUAAAAAGACUAAAGAAGAAGUUGCAGGGACUCUGGAAGCAGUCCAAGCCAUUCAGAAUAUAACCCAGGCUCUCCAGAAGUCUAAGGAAAAUUAUAAUGCCAAAUGUGUAGAACAGGAACGUCUGAAAAAGGAAGGAGCUACACCGAGAGAAAUAGAAAAGG
rnacentral:lncRNA from 1 species